rnacentral:rRNA from 1 species
UACGUAGGGUGCAAGCGUUAAUCGGAAUUACUGGGCGUAAAGCGUGCGCAGGCGGUUCGCUAAGACCGAUGUGAAAUCCCCAGGCUUAACCUGGGAACUGCAUUGGUGACUGGCGGGCUAGAGUAUGGCAGAGGGGGGUAGAAUUCCACGUGUAGCAGUGAAAUGCGUAGAGAUGUGGAGGAAUACCGAUGGCGAAGGCAGCCCCCUGGGCCAAUACUGACGCUCAUGCACGAAAGCGUGGGGAGCAAACAGG